rnacentral:rRNA from 1 species
AACGAACGCUGGCGGCAUGCCUAACACAUGCAAGUCGAACGAGACCUUCGGGUCUAGUGGCGCACGGGUGCGUAACGCGUGGGAACCUGCCUUUAGGUUCGGAAUAACUCAGAGAAAUUUGACCUAAUACCGGAUGAUGUCUUCGGACCAAAGAUUUAUCGCCUUUAGAUGGGCCCGCGUUGGAUUAGCUAGUUGGUGGGGUAAAGGCCUACCAAGGCGACGAUCCAUAGCUGGUCUGAGAGGAUGAUCAGCCACACUGGGACUGAGACACGGCCCAGACUCCUACGGGAGGCAGCAGUGGGGAAUAUUGGACAAUGGGCGAAAGCCUGAUCCAGCAAUGCCGCGUGAGUGAUGAAGGCCUUAGGGUUGUAAAGCUCUUUUACCCGAGAUGAUAAUGACAGUAUCGGGAGAAUAAGCGCCGGCUAACUCCGUG